CCUACGGGAGGCAGCAGUGGGGGAUAUUGCACAAUGGGGGAAACCCUGAUGCAGCGACGCCGCGUGGGCGAAGAAGUAUUUCGGUAUGUAAAGCCCUAUCAGCAGGGAAGAAGAAAUGACGGUACCUGAGUAAUAAGCACCGGCUAAAUACGUGCCAGCAGCCGCGGUAAUACGUAUGGUGCCAGCGUUAUCCGGAUUUACUGGGUGUAAAGGGAGCGCAGGCGUAACGGCAAGCCUGAUGGGAAAGCCCGCGGCCCAACCGCGGGGCUGCAGUGGGAACUACCGGGCUGGAGUGCCGUAGAGGUAGGCGGAAUGCGUAGUGUAGCGGUGAAAUGCGUAGAUAUUAGGAGGAACACCAGUGGCGAAGGCAGCCUACUGGACGGUGACUGACGCUGAGGCUCGAAAGCGUGGGGAGCAAACAGGAUUAGAUACCCGAGUAGUC
rnacentral:rRNA from 1 species